GAAACGACUGCUAAUACCGCAUAAGCCCACGGGUCGGCAUCGACCAGAGGGAAAAGGAGCAAUCCGCUUUGAGAUGGCCUCGCGUCCGAUUAGCUAGUUGGUGAGGUAACGGCCCACCAAGGCAACGAUCGGUAGCCGGACUGAGAGGUUGAACGGCCACAUUGGGACUGAGACACGGCCCAGGCUCCUACGGGAAGCAGCAGUGGGGAAUAUUGCACAAUGGGGGAAACCCUGAUGCAGCGACGCCGCGUGGAGGAAGAAGGUCUUCGGAUUGUAAACUCCUGUUGUUGAGGAAGAUAAUGACGGUACUCAACAAGGAAGUGACGGCUAACUACGUGCCAGCAGCCGCGGUAAAACGUAGGUCACAAGCGUUGUCCGGAAUUACUGGGUGUAAAGGGAGCGCAGGCGGGAAGACAAGUUGGAAGUGAAAUCCAUGGGCUCAACCCAUGAACUGCUUUCAAAACUGUUUUUCUUGAGUAGUGCAGAGGUAGGCGGAAUUCCCGGUGUAGCGGUGGAAUGCGUAGAUAUCGGGAGGAACACCAGUGGCGAAGGCGGCCUACUGGGCACCAACUGACGCUGAGGCUCGAAAGUGUGGGUAGCAAACAGGAUUAGAUACCCUGGUAGUCCACACCGUAAACGAUGAUAAGGAGGUGUUGGAGGAUUGACCCCUUCAGUG
rnacentral:rRNA from 1 species